GACGAACGCUGGCGGCGUGCUUAACACAUGCAAGUCGAACGGAAAGGCCCUGCUUUUGUGGGGUGCUCGAGUGGCGAACGGGUGAGUAACACGUGAGUAACCUGCCCUUGACUUUGGGAUAACUUCAGGAAACUGGGGCUAAUACCGGAUAGGAGCUCCUGCUGCAUGGUGGGGGUUGGAAAGUUUCGGCGGUUGGGGAUGGACUCGCGGCUUAUCAGCUUGUUGGUGGGGUAGUGGCUUACCAAGGCUUUGACGGGUAGCCGGCCUGGGAGGGUGACCGGCCACAUGGGGACUGCGGUACGGCGCAGAGUCCUACGGGAGGCAGCGGGGGGGAAUAUUGCACAGUGGGCGGAAGCCUGAUGCAGCAACGCCGCGUGCGGGAUGACGGCCUUCGGGUUGUAAACCGCUUUCGCCUGUGACGAAGCGUGAGUGACGGUAAUGGGUAAAGAAGCACCGGCUAACUACGUG
rnacentral:rRNA from 1 species